UACGUAGGGUGCAAGCGUUGUCCGGAAUUAUUGGGCGUAAAGAGCUCGUAGGCGGUCUGUCGCGUCGGAUGUGAAAAUCCAGGGCUCAACCCUGGACCUGCAUUCGAUACGGGCAGACUAGAGUUCGGCAGGGGAGACUGGAAUUCCUGGUGUAGCGGUGGAAUGCGCAGAUAUCAGGAGGAACACCGGUGGCGAAGGCGGGUCUCUGGGCAGUAACUGACGCUGGAGGAGCGAAAGCGUGGGGAGCGAACAGG
rnacentral:rRNA from 1 species